UUCUUCCCAUCUCUUCAUACCCAAUAUUAUUUAAAAUUAUUUAGACAUGGCUUUUAGAAUAUAAGAUGAAAAGAUAUCGCUUUUAGAAUACAAGACGAAAAAUCUAUUUCACCAGAAACUUUUAUACGCUGAUAUGUCUUUUGCAAACUUGCUAACGAACCGCUUUUAUGCAUUUAAUCCUUCCCCAGUUAAGAUCUAGCAUUAAACCGCUUUUCCUUAAACAGGCAUUGUUCGUUUGGAGGGUAAGAAAUUCCAACUGAAAGCGCCAACUAACAGACGGACGACUUAUCGACGAGAGGUAUAACGGUGGCAGCGAUAUUCGUUAGCCAAGCUCGAGGCACGACGGUGUCGGCAAACAUCAUUAUCUCGGAAAUCUGUCAACGGGCUGAAGCCGUAGACGAAACGUGGCAUCCCAUGGGAUAGGACAGCGGGGCUUGUUAAGGAAUCCGUGUCCGGAACUUGGGAAAGGCCAGAGGCCGCAGAAGUGGGCGAGUGGGUAAUCCCGAAGGGUUAAGGUUUACGUCGACCGACCGUGCUGAGAUCGAGACGACAAAUUGGGGAUGCCUGUGCGGGGCAGUGCUUCGCCCGUGCGCUUCAGGGGUGGCCUCUCCGUUCUACAGGGUCAACAAAAUAACUAAAUUCUUAGAUUAUUCCUUUUUUUAUUUAACAUUUCUAUUUUUUUCUUUUCAGGGUGUCUAUUUAUAACCAUUGUAUAAAGCAUUUAAAGAUAAAAUAAUACAAAUAACACAAGUGUUUAAUCUGAGAAUACUGUUGAUAAAGUGUACCAGCAGUUCCCGAGAAAAAGCUAACCACCGUUGUUCUCUGUAUCGGUGAGGGGUUUGUCCCUUGAACCCUGCACGCGGAACACGAAGAAAAGGAUACUGUUACGUAUACUCCGGUCUGUUCUCCUCAGUCCUGAAAAGGGUAGAAAAUAAUCGUCGUUUGUCGGCGGAACGGAAUUUCAUUAAGUUCCACGGCAGCCGUUUAGAUUGAUUUACGAUCGAUGCACGAUAAAGUAAAAAGAAGAAAAUUGAUCAAGAACUCGCGAGCGACUCUGGUUUCGUGUUUCCACGAAAUUGAAAACGCCGCCUUAAGCUCGCCGCCCGCGAUGUAAUUCAACCGUCUGCGCGCGUUGCCUCGCUUAAUUAACGGACGUUGUUGCGUAAGAACCAAGCGAGGAAUUCGUUAAAGUGAAUCGAAAUUAAUUAAGUUGCCAAGGUUUUUAGAAGGGUGGAAAUACUCCCGAAUAAAUGUUUCUUCAAGUUAUGAAAUUAAACCCUAGAAUAAUAUUCUGAUAUAUUAUUAAGAUGCAAUUGUUUUUUGCAAGAUAUAAUAGUAUGUUUUUAUACAUACAUUAAAUGCAAUGUAAUAAAUGUAUUUUCAUAUAGUUUUAAGUACCUUGUAAUUUUUGUAAGAAAGAAUGAUUGUAUUGU